rnacentral:misc_RNA from 1 species
GGAAUAACUCUCCUUAGUGAUGAAGACGAAAACACCAAAUUAUUCAGAGAAUUGAUGCUAACUUGAGGACACUUCUUCAAGUUUAUCUCUCUCAAUGAUCUACAGUUCUUCACCAUUGCAUGUAAGCCCUCUGCUGUCACUCCUUUACAGUUCUCCAAGUUUAAUUUCAGCAGUCGAGAACAUCUGCUUCCAAUCAUGACCAGACCUUCAUCAUUUAAUGCUGAACCAGCUGCACUUAUUACCUCAAGACUAGGCAAUUCUGCACCUUUUCCGAUAUGUUUAAUCCCGUGGGUGAGCAGAGUCGAAUCUAUCACCGUUAAACCGAUUCGCAGACGAUUUGUGAGAGCAAGAAACUGUUUGGACACCACGGAAAACGAUUCCAAGUCGGAUUUGUGAUGAAGACGACUGAAUAUCAGUUCCCAGCAUUCUACCGGCAAAUCCUUGCACCGAUUUGCCAUUGAUUUUAGCUAAUUAGGGCUAAAAUUUUACAUAUGAAAAAUUGACUCGUUUUUCGAGAGAGAAUUCGGAAUUCAG